GGGUUGUGAGGUUAAGCGACUAAGCGUACACGGUGGAUGCCCUGGCAGUCAGAGGCGAUGAAGGGCGUGCUAAUCUGCGAUAAGCGCCGGUAAGGUGAUAUGAACCGUUAUAACCGGCGAUACCCGAAUGGGGAAACCCAGUGUGACUCGUCACACUAUCAUUAACUGAAUCCAUAGGUUAAUGAGGCGAACCGGGGGAACUGAAACAUCUAAGUACCCCGAGGAAAAGAAAUCAACCGAGAUUCCCCCAGUAGCGGCGAGCGAACGGGGAGGAGCCCAGAGCCUGAAUCAGCAUGUGUGUUAGUGGAAGCGUCUGGAAAGGCGCGCGAUACAGGGUGACAGCCCCGUACACAAAAGCGCAUGUGCUGUGAGCUCGAUGAGUAGGGCGGGACACGUGGUAUCCUGUCUGAAUAUGGGGGGACCAUCCUCCAAGGCUAAAUACUCCUGACUGACCGAUAGUGAACCAGUACCGUGAGGGAAAGGCGAAAAGAACCCCGGCGAGGGGAGUGAAAAAGAACCUGAAACCGUGUACGUACAAGCAGUGGGAGCACCCUUUUG
rnacentral:rRNA from 2 species